UACGGGGGGGGCAAGCGUUGUUCGGAAUUACUGGGCGUAAAGGGCUCGUAGGCGGCCAACUAAGUCGGACGUGAAAUCCCUCGGCUUAACCGGGGAACUGCGUCCGAUACUGGAUGGCUUGAGAUUGGGAGAGGGAUGCAGAAUUCCAGGUGUAGCGGUGAAAUGCGUAGAUAUCUGGAGGAAUACCGGUGGCGAAGGCGGCAUCCUGGACCGACAUUGACGCUGAGGAGCGAAAGCUAGGGGAGCAAACGGG
rnacentral:rRNA from 1 species